CUAAAUAGCUGGGUUCUACCAAAUCUGUGCUCAGGAACAUUAAUCAAACUCUGUGCCACAGAGUGUCUCCAUCACAGAGACCUUCAGGGAAUCCCCGCGUGGCUGGCAGUGACCGAGGAGGAGGAUGCAAGCCACGGGCUCGCCUCCCAUUCUUUCGUGGCUAUUUUUAGCAAACGCCAUUUUCACGGAAGGGAUUAGAAAAUCUAUUUUUGAACCGAGACGCUGUAACCCAAUCCAUGAAAGAACUACUGAGAGGGGUGCACUUUGUGAACGGCUACAAUACGCGUCAAAACAUGUUUACAGGAGAGGCAAUAAUGUAUGGCAAAAAUUGCUUCAGCUCUGAAAUUGACUGUCACGUCAAGUUAUUAAAAUCGUUUCUUUACUCGUUUAUUGUCGUCUAGUGUGUAAGUGGUUUCAUCCAAAAAUAGUAUUCAUGACACGUACGACAGGAGAAAGGGAAAUGAAAAGAAAACGACCCACCCCCCUUUCGUUUUUCCCCAAAGAUGGAUGAUUUAAAGACAUCACGUGAAGCCUAGACCUGUUUUGAAUCCUGAUGAAUUUCCUCCUCGUCGUCAGACGGCGCCUGACCAUUCUCUAUUUUAACGCAAUGCGGAAUCUCACACCCACGUGUACCAGUAGACCCCUUGUCCUUGGAUUACCGACUAAUCCUGGCUCGGAUGGUGAAAAUGAGAGCUGCUUGUCCGGGCACUCCAGGCUAUCUCAUCCUCUCAAUGGUCAUUUCAAUUCCACAAGGUCUUUUGGAACACAGGCUCCUGGCUCCUCCUUUUUCUUGGCUCUGGCACGUCACUGGCUGUGACCGCGGCGACCGUACCUCCAGGAGGAAUCCCAGUGUCCUCUCUGUUGUACCGAGCCUGUGGGGUUCGUUAGUGCUGGUGUGCACUCGCCUGGUUGGGCUGCAUUAUGGGAACAAGAACAGCUUUCACUUCUGGUGGAUCAUGCACUGUAAUGUUCCAGGGGUGCUUGAUGCUUUUGUUUUUAUUCAUUUAUGAGAACAUUUAAUUGUUUCAUUAGAGGCUGUAUUUGUUUAUGUUAAGGUUAAGGUGUAGUUAGAGGCUACUGAGACAGGGGAUCCCCAUAGCUGCUUAACAAAUAGCCUCAUAUGAAAUUCGAAUGAGCAGUCUGUGGCGGACUACAAUAGAAUUUAUGAAAAACUGACGGUAGAGAAUAGAACACAAUAUGUUCUACAAAAUGGACAAUAGAUCAGAAACAGCAGGGCACCUGAACAUGUCAGCACUAGAAUAUGGAGGGGCCUUAGUUGAUGUUUGUGUCAGUGAAUCAGCUUCUAGAAAAACACUGGAACAGCUGCCAAAUUCUACACUGCUAGAUCUAACGCUGCUCUCACUCUCAUGAAUAUUGCAGCAUUGCAGUAUUAUAAAGCAUUCAGUCUGAGGCUGAGCUAGCAUUACCGUAACAGCACUCAGCACAGUAUUGGAAAAUCACGCUUGCUCUGGCCACGGGCAGUAGUAGUGCUACCUUUCACUAACAUACUUCCCCUGUCUCCUGCCAGGGUUGCUUGAGUAGCAGUGAAAGCUAGCAUGGCACGUGUGGGACAUAGAAGCUCAGCAGGCUGUUCGGUCUGGAGCCGCAACCCGGAGAGCUCUGUCUGUCUGUCUGCCGGCCUCUCACACUAUCUGUCUGUCUGUCUGUCUGUCUGUCUGUCUGUCUGUUCAGCUGUUCACGUUCAAGACCCCUGUCUCACUGUCACCACUCUCCCCAUCAUUUAUUCAUCGAGUCACUCUGGCUGGUCCUCACGACGUUGCCUGUCACGCUCCUGUACUCGUUCACCCCUUCUCUUCCUCCUGCAGCUCUCCGGCUUGCUCCUGCUCAUUUUGUAAAGGGGAAAGAUGUGUCUGUGUGUGUCUUAUGGUUUUACAGUUUUACAGUGGCGUCAUGCUGGGGUCACACACUGUGCUACACACAAACACACUGCCAUGAUCUUUUCUCUCUCUCUCACACACAAAACGGACAUACAACUCUCAGGACUAAUUCACAACUUUCUCUUUUUCAUUUCUCUGGAAUGAUUUCAUAAAAAGGUCAGGGCUCUGUCCACAGUGAGGUAUACAUAUGCAUUAUACUUGUAUAUUAAAAUCCUUCACAUAUAUGCUCUUACA